AUUGAACGCUGGCGGCAUGCCUUACACAUGCAAGUCGAACGGUAACGAGCCUUCGGGUGCCGACGAGUGGCGAACGGGUGAGUAAUACAUCGGAACGUGCCCGAUCGUGGGGGAUAACGAGGCGAAAGCUUUGCUAAUACCGCAUACGAUCUACGGAUGAAAGCAGGGGACCGCAAGGCCUUGCGCGGACGGAGCGGCCGAUGGCAGAUUAGGUAGUUGGUGGGAUAAAAGCUUACCAAGCCGCCGAUCUGUAGCUGGUCUGAGAGGAUGAUCAGCCACACUGGGACUGAGACACGGCCCAGACUCCUACGGGAGGCAGCAGUGGGGAAUUUUGGACAAUGGGCGCAAGCCUGAUCCAGCCAUGCCGCGUGCAGGAUGAAGGCCUUCGGGUUGUAAACUGCUUUUGUACGGAACGAAAAGCCUUCUUUUAAUACAGGAGGGUCAUGACGGUACCGUAAGAAUAAGCACCGGCUAACUACGUG
rnacentral:rRNA from 1 species